AAGGAGUCACAAUGGACAGAUCAAUAGCAGGUGGAUUUAAAAUACCAGCUGCUUCACUUCAAUCUCUUAUCGGUCUCGGUAUUAUGAUUUCCCUCUUGAUAUAUGAUUGCAUACUCAUUCCAACUGCAAGAAAGUUCACGGGGAAUCCUUCUGGAAUUACAAUGCUACAAAGAAUUGGAUUUGGGAUGCUAUUAUCCAUCAUUUCCAUGGUUGUUGCUGCAUUAGUUGAGGGAAAAAGGCUCAAAACAGCUCAAGAAUAUGGUUUGGUUGAUAUGCCAAAGGCGACUAUUCCAUUAAGUAUAUGGUGGUUGGUUCCUCAAUACAUAUUAUUUGGAGUUGCUGAUACAUUCACCAUGGUUGGGUUGCAGGAGUUUUUCUAUGACCAAGUUCCGAGUGGAUUACGAAGCAUUGGUCUCUCCUUGUACUUGAGUAUUUUUGGAAUUGGCUACUUUUUAAGCAGCUUUCUCAUCUCUGCCAUUGAAAAGCUAACAAGUGGGUAUGGAAAACAAAGCUGGUUUGACAAUAAUCUCAACAAAGCUCAUCUCGAAUACUUCUACUGGUUGCUUGUUGUGCUUAGUGUUGUUGGGUUGGCUGCUUUCCUAUUUUCUGCCAGAACUUACAUCUAUAACAAGGGGAACACCACACUGGUUUAAUUUUGUUGGGUAUAUUUGGUUUGAAGGUUUGAGAGAGUUGGAAAAUGAAACCACUAAACUCCACUCUUGUUUAUCUUAACGUGAAAAAUAUCAAUUUUAUAUUUAAUACUUAAUGUUACAGAUCUAAAACCAUUUUUCUUUUUAUAUACUCAACAAACGUUCGUUUUUUUCUUCUUUCAGCAGUAUUCUCUUUGAUUCCAUUAAUUAUUCUUCUCCAGUGCACGCUUGAAUUGGAUAGUUGUGUUAAACCUUGGAAAACAGUAACCAGUAUAUGCUAUUUAGCAUCAAAGUCGAGCCAAAUUUUACGUGAUUCGACACGACACAACAAUAAUAAACAUUUAUUUAACAUCUUAAUAUAUGUCCGACUAAAAUCAACAACUCACUUUCUGUGGAAAGACAUAAAAUUGGUGGAAGAAAAGAAUUAGUCGAUUAUAAAAAGAUGAAUAAUUUUUAGCUGUUCAUUUUUCUAGAUAAAUUUUACUACCAACAAUAAAAUUAUCAAAUCUAAACAAUUAUAUUAAUAAAUAAUGAAAAUUUAAAAAAUAUAUAAAAAUAUAAAAUAUUUUUCUUUAAAUAAAAGAUGAAUGUAUCCAAGAACAAAAACAGUACAUGAUAUUUAUUUAUUUUUGGUUUGGUAGGUGCACAUCAUCGUCUCUCAACCACACAAAUUAACGGCCAUCAUCUCUCUACCGUACACGCUGAAUUGGUUUUUCUUUUCUUCGUCUUCUGUGCAUUUCCUUUCAGGUAGGCUCAAGGGUGUCGGUGCAACUUAAGCUCACGGCAGUGACGAAACCACCCAGUAAAGCAGCAGUGAGGCUUCCUUUUCUUGGCUGAUUAUCGACCUUCGGCUGUCAUCCUCGCCGCUUUUGGCCUCAAAUCAGUUUGUCCAUAUCUUGCAGAUGUUUCGAUAAUGCAAUAUAUAUGUGAGGCUUUUAUCUCUGUUGGAUAUUCAAAGCCUGGACUAAGUGGUGGUGUGUUCAAAGUUCAUGUAAUAAGAUUCUGAUUUGGAAGCCUUUCUAAUUAAUAAGUGUUCAACAAAAUGGAGGCUCCUCUAUUGGAUGAGACGGUGGAGGGGGCAGUUGAUUACAAUGGCCACCCGGUCUGCAGAUUCAAUUCUGGCGGCUGGAGAUCCGCCUCCCUCAUCAUAGGUAAAUCAUCAUUAGUUUCUUCUCUUUCUUCUCUUUCCCUAUCCAAUUUUUGUAUCCUCUCGAAUCGUAAUCAGGGGUGGAGGUUGCGGAGAGAUUCGCCUUCUAUGGAGCUUCCUCCAAUUUGAUUAACUUCUUAACGGACCAGCUCCAGCAGUCGACUGCCAUGGCAGCCAAGAAUGUCAACAUCUGGUCUGGUACCGCAGCCUUGCUACCUCUACUCGGCGCCUUUCUAGCUGAUUGCUUCCUUGGACGAUACCGUACCAUUGUUCUUUCCUCUGCUCUUUAUGUUCUGGUUCCUAAACCACUCUAUGCUCUAACUCUUUUAUUGCUUUUCUUUUCCAAAUCCAAACUAUAUAAAAUCUCAUAAGACUAUGCAAGUUAUUGGCUCGGGAUCUGUUAAUUCAGGAUUCUUUUGAUUCCUGUUCUUUCAUGUGAUACUCAAUAGUGGAAACAACCGGAAAUUUCAAAACAGUUCUCUUCAUAAAUUGAAACUUCCAUAAUAUUCAGUGUGUCACUUUUUGCUUUUGUUGUUUCUGGAAUUUAGGGCCUUGGGUUGUUGACCUUGUCUGCAGCAUUACCUUCUCUCGGCAUUUCUGCCUGCCAUGAGACUGAAAAAUUCCUGCCAUGCUCCCCGAAUCCCGUCCAAGUAAUUUUGUUUUUCUUCUCCUUAUAUCUGUUGGCAUUUGGUAAAGGGGGACACGAGCCUUGCAUCCAAGCUUUCGGAGCCGAUCAAUUUGAUGGACAGCAUCCAGAAGAGAGAAAAGCUAAAAGCUCUUUCUUCAAUUGGUGGUACUUGGGUAUCUCUUUGGCUUGCUUGUUAACUGUUAAUAUCAUGAGCUAUGUGCAAGAUAACCUCAGUUGGAGUCUUGGGUUUGGAAUUCCUUGUACUGCAAUGGUUUUUGGACUUGUAGUGUUCUUGCUUGGAACUAGGACGUACAGGUUCAGUAACAGAAGAGAUGAGGAAAACCCAUUUGUAAGAAUUGGACGGGUGUUUAUCACUGCAAUAAGAAAUUGGCAUGUAAACUCCUUAGAGAUAGCUCAUGAAGAGGAAAGUCAUGGCCUUUUGCCGCACCAUAACUCCAAACAGUUGAGGUAAAUUAAAUGUCCAAAAGAAGGGUAAAGUGUAUGCUUUGUCACCUCUAGAGUAUUUCUCUUCUCGCCAGAAAUGUUGUCCUUAAGUGGAUGUAUUAUGUAACUGCCUUAGAAACCAUGCAACCAUUUUCUUUAAUGGAUUCUCUAAUUUUGUAGGUUUCUCGACAAAGCUUUGAUUGUACCUAAUAGUUUAAAGGAAGAAUGUCGAGCAUGUAGCAUCAAUGAAGUUGAGGAAGCAAAAGCAGUGCUGAAGCUCGUUCCAAUUUGGGCAACAUGCUUAACAUAUGCUAUUGUAUUCUCCCAGUCGUCAACUUUCUUUAUAAAACAAGGAGUGACACUGGACAGAUCAAUAGUUGAUGGAUUUGAAGUACCAGCUGCUUCACUUCAAUCUUUUAUCAGUCUAGGUGUUGUCAUUUCCCUCGUAAUAUAUGAUCGCGUACUCAUUCCAACUGCAAGAAAGUUCACUCGAAAACCUUCUGGAAUUACAAUGCUACAAAGAAUUGGAUUUGGGAUGCUAUUAUCCAUCAUUUCCAUGGUUGUUGCUGCAUUAGUUGAGGGAAAAAGGCUCAAAACAGCUAAAGAA
rnacentral:lncRNA from 1 species